UACGAAGGGGGCUAGCGUUGUUCGGAAUUACUGGGCGUAAAGCGCACGUAGGCGGAUAUUUAAGUCAGGGGUGAAAUCCCGGGGCUCAACCUCGGAACUGCCUUUGAUACUGGGUAUCUUGAGUAUGGAAGAGGUAAGUGGAAUUGCGAGUGUAGAGGUGAAAUUCGUAGAUAUUCGCAGGAACACCAGUGGCGAAGGCGGCUUACUGGUCCAUUACUGACGCUGAGGUGCGAAAGCGUGGGGAGCGAACGGG
rnacentral:rRNA from 1 species